rnacentral:lncRNA from 1 species
UCUUAGUCAUAGGACAGACAUCUUAAAAGAUUUCUUGCAUGGGCCUUGGACUUGCUUAAUAAAUACUGAAUUUCUUAAUCUGUCCAAUUUACCAUGGUUUAUAAUUAAUUGUUUUUCCUAUUAAACUUAAACCACACAGCCUCUUUUCUAGUUAGCUGCCUGGGGAGAAGGCACAGGAAGGUUCCUUUUGAACCUAUUCAGAGCUGCUUUUCCCCAGUUGAUAGAACAUUGCCAAGGUCGGUAAGCCUAAAA